rnacentral:rRNA from 1 species
UAACCUGACGCUGUCGUUGAUGUUGUAUGUCUGCGUGUUUAUGUUCUCUUCGUAUCAGGUCUUAGGGUGUUAUGACCUCUACGAUGAUGGUCGGGGUUGGUACAUAUAGCCCCGUAGUCGGAUUCUGAACACGUAUCCGGACCCUACGGGGGUGCAUCAGGCGCGUUAACUUCACACUUCAGUUAACUGUGAUGAGGGAACUCCAAGUGACUGCACAAUGUGUAUCCUUUUCUUGAAUCUUAAUAGUUUGUGGUAUAAGGUCUGGGAAAGACCGGUGCCAGCACGCAACGGUAAUACCGGCAGCUCAAGUGGUCGUCGCUUUUAUUGGGCCUAAAACGUCCGUAGCCUGUGUGGUAUAUCUGUGGGUAAAUCAACGAGCUUAACUCUUUGAUAUUCUGCAGUGACUGCCAGACUAGGGACCGGGAGAGUUAUGAGGUACUCUGGGGGUAGGGGUAUAAUCCUGUCAUCAUCAGAGGACCACCUGUUGCGAAGGCGUCAUACUGGUACGGAUCCGUCGUUCAGGGUCGAAGCAUAGGGGCACGAACACGGAUUAGAUAUCACCGGGUAGUCACUAGGUGUAUACGCUGUGGAUCUGGUGUGUAGGGGUCUCAUAUAUGGGCUCACCAUGUGCACGGAGUGAAGAUGUUUAUUAUCCACUGCAAUGGGGAGUACGGUCGUCAAGGCUGUCACGUCAAAUUGAAUUUGAUCAGGA